CCUACGAGCGGCAGCAGUGAGGAAUAUUGGUCACUGGGCGCGAGCCUGAACCAUCCAAGUCGCGUUAAGGCUUACUGCCCUACGGGUUGUAAACCUCUUUUACAAAGGAAUCCAGUGCGGGACGGGUGCCUUUUUGUAUGUUUUUUAUGAAUAACGAUCGGCUAACUACGUGCCAGCAGCCGCGGUUACACGGAGGAUCCGAGCCUUAUCCGGAUUUAUUGGGUUUAAAGGGAGCGUAGAUGGGUUGUUAAGUCAGUUGUGAAAGUUUGCGGCUCAACCGUAAAAGUGCAAUUGAGACUGGGAGCAUUGAGUACAGUAGAGGUAGGCGGAAGUCGUGGUGUAGCGGUGAAAUGCUUAGAUAUCACGAAGAACUCCGAUUGCGAAGGCAGCCUACUAAACUGCCACUGACAUUGAUGCUCGAAAGUGCGGGUAUCAAACAGGAUUAGAUACCCCUGUAGUC
rnacentral:rRNA from 1 species